rnacentral:rRNA from 1 species
AUGGCCGCCCACGCCGCCGCCGACCCGUUCGAGCCCCAGAAGCAGGAUCAAGAAACAGUGAUUUGCAGGUGGAAACGAAAACGACGGCCGGUGGCCUGUAACUUUUACAAGUGUAUUCAAAGUAGAAACGACAUUCCAAACAGGGCCUUAGUCAUUUCUGAAGUGAAUGGGUCCUUCGGCAAAUGGUUAUCUUUGAGGAAGGAGAAUGAAUUGUUUGAUCAAUGCACUAUGCGUCCCCUCCUAAAGAACAUGGUGAUUCAACUUGUAGGUCUGGUUGAAAGUGUACUUCUCAAGAACAAGUGCCCCGUAGGUCUUUCAAUGAAAGACUUGUACAUCAAGAUUCUUCAUAAUGGUACCGCUAAGCUGCAGGUUCUAAUCCCUGAAGUACAAGUCGCCAGUCAGGGUCUUGAGGUUAAGGCAUGGAAAAGUGUUAGGACCAUUGUUGACGGGUGCUUUGCUAAGUUUAAGAUCGUUCCAGACGAGGCUACAAGAGGCUUCAUCUCAUCAAUUGGGAUUCUGACCAAAAACACUGAAGUUCUUUUUGCUGACUUCCCGGAUCAAUGGGACAACUCCAGGAAAGGAGCAUUCCUCAUGGAAUCCUGCGCACAUGCCAACAUUGUGUCCAGUACGUUCAAUGCUAAGGAUUCAGGUCUGAGGUGGCCACUUGGACAAGACGGAGAAACUCCGUGGGUGUUGCAACAGCUAAUUUAUCGUGGUCAAAAAUUCUCUCAGUACAAUAAGGAUUUUCCGUAUGACUACGUGAAGCUCUGCAGAAACACCUAUAAGCAUUUCGAUGAGUUGCCAAAAUACAUCAAGAACAAGCUUGGAGGGGAUAAAGAUGGACUUUUAAAUCAGAUGGAGAAAUGGACACCGGGCAUAUGGCGCAUCCUAUAUGUAGCAGUCCAUAAGAAUAAGAAAUGA